rnacentral:rRNA from 1 species
CCUACGGGUGGCAGCAGUGAGGAAUAUUGGUCAAUGGACGUAAGCCUGAACCAGCCAAGUCGCGUGAAGGACGACUGCCCUACGGGUUGUAAACCUCUUUUACAUGGGAAUAAACUGCUCCACGCGUGGCGUCUUGUAUGUACCAGAUGAAUAAGGAUCGGCUAACUCCGUGCCAGCAGCCGCGGUAAUACGUAGGUGCCGAGCGUUAUCCGGAUUUAUUGGGUGUAAAGCGAGCGCAGGCGGUUGCUUAGGUCUGAUGUGAAAGUUUUCGGCUUAACCGAAGAAGUGCAGUGGAAACCGGGAGUCUUGAGUGCAGUAGAGGAGAGCGGAACUCGAGGUGUAGCGGUGGAAUGCGUAGAUAUAUCGAAGAACUCCGGUGGCGAAGGCAGCUGUCUGGACUGCAACUGACGCUGAGGCUCGAAAGUAUGGGUAGCGAACAGGAUUAGAUACCCGGGUAGUC